rnacentral:misc_RNA from 1 species
CCUGCCUUAAAGCGACCACCUCCUUCUCAAUCCAUGCAUCAGCACAUGUUUCACUUGAAUAUACUAUAUCAACACCCUCAAAGUCUUCCUUGUGUGUAGCCAUUCCAGACAUCAUAGCAUCAAACACCACCACCACUUUCACCUCUCUUAGCAAACUGAAUGAUACAAGUUCAUCAAUGAGUUUUUGACGAGCAAUGUCAAGG